rfam:Capsicum annuum cultivar Zunla-1 chromosome 10, whole genome shotgun sequence
GUUUCUUUGGGACAUCUAAUAAAAUUAAAACGAUACAACAAAGAUUAGCAUGAUUUUUGUGCAAAGAUGACGCACACAAAUUGAGAAGUUUAUUCUCUGAAU